AGUGAACGCUGGCGGUAGGCCUAACACAUGCAAGUCGAACGGCAGCACAGUAAGAGCUUGCUCUUACGGGUGGCGAGUGGCGGACGGGUGAGGAAUACAUCGGAAUCUACUUUUUCGUGGGGGAUAACGUAGGGAAACUUACGCUAAUACCGCAUACGACCUACGGGUGAAGGCAGGGGAUCUUCGGACCUUGCGCGAUUGAAUGAGCCGAUGUCGGAUUAGCUAGUUGGCGGGGUAAAGGCCCACCAAGGCGACGAUCCGUAGCUGGUCUGAGAGGAUGAUCAGCCACACUGGAACUGAGACACGGUCCAGACUCCUACGGGAGGCAGCAGUGGGGAAUAUUGGACAAUGGGCGCAAGCCUGAUCCAGCCAUACCGCGUGGGUGAAGAAGGCCUUCGGUUUGUAAAGCCCUUUUGUUGGGAAAGAAAAGCAGCAGGUUAAUACCCCGCUGUUCUGACGGUACCCAAAGAAUAAGCACCGGCUAACUUCGUG
rnacentral:rRNA from 1 species